rnacentral:lncRNA from 1 species
AAAAAGACUCACUUUGGUGAUUUCUUAAUUAUCAAUAGCUCAUAAAAAAAAAUUAUAAACAAGACCAAUAUUUAAAUUUUAUUUAUUCCUUAAUAAUUAUUAAUUUUAUUCAAUGACCCAAAAAUAAAUCUGCAAUCUGCACCAGAUUGGGCCUGCCAAAAAAAAUUAAAUAAAAGUCCAAGAUGGAUCUGAAAUAGGACUAUCCGAAAUUGGGCCUGGGUCACAGCCCACAACCCAGCACACAGAGAAACCCUUGCCGUCAGUUGCACUAGGGUCGCAAGUCCCCGUCAGCCACGAACAGUUCUUGCCGAGACCACCAUGACAGCAUCUGGUAACUUCCAAAACCAACCUCAAUCUGCAAGAGUGCCCUUGAUGCAACGAACGGUGCGCUACCAUGAAACAGCUUCUGCAGAUCUGAACGCAGAUCAAGAUCGCGACUCUCCACCGUCACCGUCGACGCUGAUGUGCGAACAGGAGCGAACCACCAUGGCGACCAAACGCAACCAACCUCGCGAAGCCCCACCGCGAGCAGCUCACCUCCUUGCCACCAAACAUUUCGCCAUCGCAAGUUGAAGAUGAAGAAAGAAAAGAGAAGCAGCGAACCAGAAGAAGGAAGCCAUGGAUGGAGCGGAAAACGCAAAAAAAAAAACACAGCACCAGAGAACGAAGAAGGUAAACCCGAAAAGGAAACUCUCCUUAGGGUUUCAGAUUUGGGAAUUUUCCCAAUUUUAAAAAUUAGGGUUACAGAGACAUUCAAAUUGGAAAUUCUGGAUGUUAAUUUCCCUUUUCAACCGUAGAAUUAAUGCAGAAAAUUGAUUACAGAUUUAUAAUUCGUAAUCAAUUACAAAUUUCCAAAUUUGGUUUAUGCAAUUUAAUCAUAAAUUAACAUGCUCUGAUACCAAUUGUUAGAAUUUAUGAUUCACAAUAAAGAGCAAUAAACCACAUGCAUUAAAUUCUACAAUCAAAGCAGUUCCCAAUAUUUCUAUAAUAAUAUAAUGGAAGCGUACCUGAAUUGGACAUUGGGAAUAAUAAUUAAUCAACCUGAAAAUGGUCUCUGAUCUUCCCUCUGUAGAGCACCCUUAGUUCCCUCUAUAUUUUCUCUUCUGAUGGGGAUAAAGAGAAAGAAACAGGAAUAUAUCUUAUGCCCUCAGAUGGGGACCAUGACCCCAUAAUAAACUUCUAACGGUUUCUUUAGUUUUAAUAAUUAUAAAUUGGCCCCUUCAACAAAUUAUAAUUAUUACUGGUCUCUACACAAUAUACUUUUCAUGACAAACAUACCCUUAGCCAUAUUUAUUUUAAUUAGAUCACUUUAUGAAAUUGGCUAAUAUAAUAUAAUGGCCCUAACACAUUUAAUAAUUACUUAUAUAUAUACAAGUGACCCAAAUUGCUAACAA